rnacentral:rRNA from 1 species
CCUACGGGAGGCAGCAGUAGGGAAUAUUGCUCAAUGGGCGUACCCCUGAAGCAGCCACGUCGCGUGGGGGAUGAAGGUUCUAGGAUUGUUAACUCUUUUUGUUCGAGGAGCUACUCACGGUAUGUAACGCAUAAGCACCGGCUAACGCCGUGCCAGCAGCCGUGGUCAUCCGGCGGGUGGCAGCGGUACUCGGGAUCACUGGGCGUAAAGCGGGAGUAGGGGGGAUAGCAAGGUAGAUGUGAAAUCCUAUGGGUUAACCAUAGAACUGCAGUUGAAACUGUUAUUCUAGAGUAUGGGAGAGGUAGGCGGAAUGCGUGGUGUAGGGGUAAAAUGCGUAGAGAUCAAGAGGAAUACUGAUUGCGAAGGCGACCUGCUAGAGCAUAACUGACGCUGAUGCGCGAAAGCGUGGGGAGCGAACAGGAUUAGAUACCCGAGUAGUC